UACAGCCAUUUUGUUCCAUUGACUGAGCACCUGUGAAGUGCCAGGGUACUGUGCUAAGUGUUUUCUGCAUUACAUCAUUCACCCUGACAGAUGCACUUCUGCCUCUGCUGGAAAAUGACAAGGAAGAGGAGGAGAGACACAGACACACAGGGAGAACGCCAUGUGAACAUGGAUGCAGAGAUUGGAGUGAUUCACCUGCUAGUCCAGGAACAUCCAGGGUUACUAUAGCACCAGAAGCCCUGUCCCAAGUCAUAUUAAUCCUGCUCUACAUAUGCUAAUGUGAGACAGCUUAAUCCAGGCAGCAGGGGAAGAGUUGAAACUUGGGUGUUCCAUAAGGAAUAGAGGUUCCAUCCAGACAAUUCCAGAAGUUACUCAGGAGCUACCACCCAGUAACUGAACACAUGCAUUUCUUUCAUGAGGACAUAGAAAG